rnacentral:rRNA from 1 species
CAGGAGGGGCCUACGGCCGAUUAGCUAGUUGGCGGGGUAAGAGCCCACCAAGGCAGUGAUCGGUAGCUGGUCUGAGAGGACGAUCAGCCACACGGGAACUGAGACACGGUCCCGACUCCUACGGGGGGCAGCAGUGAGGAAUAUUGGGCAAUGGGCGGAAGCCUGACCCAGCAACGCCGCGUGGAGGAAGACGGCCUUCGGGUUGUAAACUCCUUUUACGGGGGAAGAGGAAGGACGGUACCCCGAGAAUAAGUCACGGCUAACUACGUGCCAGCAGCCGCGGUAAUACGUAGGUGACAAGCGUUAUCCGGAAUUACUGGGCGUAGAGCGCACGCAGGCGGCGCAUUAAGUCUGACGUGAAAUCUCCCGGCUUAACUGGGAGGGGUCGUUGGAAACUGAUGUGCUUGAGGCGGUGAGAGGGGUGUAGAAUUCCCGGUGUAGUGGUGGAAUGCGUAGAUAUCGGGAGGAAUACCAGUGGCGAAAGCGGCACCCUGGCACUAGCCUGACGCUCAUGUGCGAAGGCGUGGGGAGCGAACGGGAUUAGAUACCCCGGUAGUCCACGCGGUAAACGAUGAAUACUAGGUGUGGGGGGAGUGAAAUCCUUCUGUGCCGAAGCAAACGCGCUAAGU